UUUUUUGAUUGUGUGUUUUGAUCCAUUUCUGAAACAGGGAAUCUUGAGAAGGGACAAAAUGGCCACAGUUCCAGGGCAGUUGAUCUGGGAGGUUGUCAAGAGGAACAACUGCUUCCUCGUUAAACAAUUCGGCCGUGGCAAUGCCGGCCUCCGAUUCAGCAAGGAGAGCAACAAUCUCUACAACCUCAACUCCUACAAGUACUCUGGUAUGGUAACUCACCUUUCGUUUAGUUUUCCGGAUGCUUUGGUGUUUGCUUAGGGUUUCAGUGUUGUUUUUUCGAUUAUGAAUGGUUAGGUUUGGCAAACAAGAAAACUGUUUCCAUCCAGCCGGAAGGCAAGGAUUUAACUGUUGUACUGUCUACUACCAAGACCAAGAAGCAGAACAAGCCUGCCAAUUUGAAGAACAAGUCAGUGAUGAGGAAGGAGUUCCACUCCAUGGCUAAGGCCGUUGCUAAUCAAGUAAUUCUCGAUGGAACUCUUUGUUGUGAAUCUGCUUAACAUGUUUGCAUGACCUAUUCAAUUAAGCAUUACAUUUGCCUUUUGUGUCAUGCUUGAACUUUCUAGCUCAGAUCCCAUAUGGUUACAUGUCAUUUUGUUUCGUAUUUCAUAUUUGACGUCUCAAAAGGCCUAGUUAUUGUAAUCUAGAUUGGGCAAUGAUGAGAAGCUAACAUGUAAGAAGAACCCUCUUUUUUAGAGGUUUCCUCAGGGAAAUACUCUUGUUACGCUUGGCUUCUGUGUUCGGAUCCGACACUAAAAACUGUUUUCUUCUUUAGAAGUUGAUUUUAGCCAUCACUUCUUUCCAGACGUUGGUUGUAGAAUUGAUGGUAUCCUGGGCAGUUAGGAUGCUGGUGUCUUAUCGUUUUAUCCAUUCCCUUCCCAUUAUAUGAAUAUUUUAAAAGUGUACUGCUGCUCUAUUUUUUCUUGGACUGUGAUGAGACUCUAACAUGUAAGAAGAAUCCUCUUUUGUAGAGGUUUCUUCAGUGAAAUACACUUGUUACGCUUGGCUUCUGAGUUCUGUUGGACUACAAAUGUUUUUGUUCCUACUUUGUUGUUGACCUCAUCCUGAAAGUUUUGUUGCUUCUAUAUGGAACAUUUGCUUUAUUUGGACCAUUGUGAGCAUUUUUUAUAUAGGUUUUGUUCAGUACUGGGUUCAAUCAAUAUGAUUCAAUUGAUUAUCUUGCCUGUUUCCUCCCUUCACUUAUUCAAUGUCUCAAAAUGUCUGGCUGCUUUUAUCUUUGUUUGGCAGUGAUGAGAAACUAACAUGUAAGGAGAACCCUCUUGUGUAGAGGUUUCUUCUAUGAAAUACUCUUGUUACGCUUGGCUUCUGUGUUCGGAUCCGACACUAAAAACUGUUUUCUUCUUUAGAAGUUGAUUUUAGCCAUCACUUCUUUCCAGACGUUGACUAUCUGUGUUACUGAAUUUUAUCUUCUUCAUUUCCUGCACUUAGUUUGUCAAAAAACAUGGAUAUGUUACUCUGUGCAGUGAUGAGAAGCUAACAUGUAAGAAGAACCCUCUUGUGUAGAGGUUUCUUCAGUGAAAUACACUUGUUACGCUUGGCUUCUGAGCUUUCUAUCUGAAAACAAAAGUUGUGGUCUCUCCUCUAAAGUUCAAUCUUUUUAGUGAAACUCAAGUUAAUAUGACUUGAGCAUCUUCGAUGCUAUUAUUGAGCUGAGUGUCUUUUGUAUUUCUUACUUGUGCUGUCAGGCAAUACUUUGUUACGUAAUUGUGAGUAGGCAAAUCACUUACUGGUUGUGCAACUUGUUGAUAUCAGGUUGGAGAUAACUAUUACCGUCCGGAUCUGAAGAAGGCAGCCCUUGCUAGGCUCAGUGUUGUCCACAAGAGCCUUAAGGUUGCCAAGUCCGGCCCCAAAAAGAGAACUAGGCAGGGGAGGAAGUGAAGCUCUAGAGAUGUAUUCCUUGUUUCGUCAAGAGUUUUGCAGUUAUGUAUGCCCACCUCUUUCGAUAGACUCCGAUAUUGUAGUUGAAGGAUGUUGAAUUUUUGUCUGUUUUGUUUUUCAAAGAUAAAUAUGCUCAAGGUACUUGAUCGCCGUCUAGUAUUUGUCCUCUAUGCUUUACCUCUGCAAUUGAUUUUUGAGCAGGUGCCUAUACCUAAUGAUGUUGUCUGCAUCGUUGUCAAUUGCCUCCAGAUUGCUUGAUUCCUCUAUGAAAACAAUGUUGUUCGUCAGAACUCUGAGAGCCUGGUCCCUCGAGUGGUUUUUAUAAUGAAACAUGCAGUCUGGAGUAAUGCACGUUGCUUGCUAACGACAGUGCUCUCUGUUCCUUCUAAUUCUAAGUGAAGGGAAACCGAAGGAAGGAACCUUGAGACGGUGACUUUCUACAAUGAACCUCCAUAAGGUAAACAAGGAAGCUUGGUUCAGACCAUUAUCCUAUUCUAGUAUCGUCUAGUUCGUAAACGGUGUUGCUGGUUCUGCGACCAAUCAUCUCUCCUCCUUCCGUCAAUUCAAAGCAUAAGUCGUUCAGGGUACAGACAAUUGCACCUCUACUGCUUCUGGAAUCGUAUUUGCAUGAAGAAAUAAGCACACAACCGCAUCCACUCCCUUUAGAAAGCUUUCAACAACGAACACAAAAUCAAAUCCUGCUCCAUCAUAAUUCCAUCAUUCCAUGUGGUUUCUUUGUAAACAAAUUGCUUAUUUAAACACUGCAUUAAGUACUUUUGUAAUUAAUAUGCGACCUUGGGAAUUGUUGACGGAAAAAUCAGAUUAUAACUAGUUAUUUUUCUUUUUAUAACUAGUUCUAUAUCCCUGAGAAAAUGACCAAAAACCCAACAGAUUAGAAGUAAUUAUUAAAUUAGACAAUUAUAACUAUUUCCCGACAAUUAUAACUAGUUAGGCAGCUGCUGCUACAGUUUUCUGCCCAAACAGAUAAAAAAAGAAGAGAAUAAAACACCAAAACUUGUCAUAUUUCACGUUGUGUAAUUUGAGAAUUGGAAGUUGCCAGGUUGAUGUUUCAUCUAAAAAUUUAUCAAUCUGCAAUGCAUCGCCCAUAACUGGGCAAGUAGAAGGAAAUGUGAUGGGCCCAUAACUGGGUAAGUAGAAGGAAAUGUGAUGGGCCUAAGAUGGACCUCAAAUUAUCCAUAUCCUUGGAAAUCAUGGCCUAUGGGCUAUGACCGAGCUACAUAACAGUAUAUAAUAAACACAAAUGUUUCAACCACUCGGUUACGCCGCUCCUAAAACCCUAAUUCAACUCUCUCUAGCAGCAGCAAGUAAGUCUCCAUCUCCGCGAUCCAACUCUCUUCCGUCCAAUCGACCAUCCGCUGCUUCAUUUCCUUUGUCUUCGUGUACUAAAUUCAACUUUCAAAAGUUUUCUAUUGUAUUCAGAUUCAGGCCGCAUUUUUUGAUCCUGUGUUUUGAUCCAUUGCUGAAACAGGGAAUCUUGAGAAGGGACAAAAUGGCCACAGUUCCAGGGCAGUUGAUCUGGGAGGUUGUCAAGAGGAACAACUGCUUCCUCGUUAAACAAUUCGGCCGUGGCAAUGCCGGCCUCCGAUUCAGCAAGGAGAGCAACAAUCUCUACAACCUCAACUCCUACAAGUACUCUGGUAUGGUAACUCACCUUUCGUUUAGUUUUCCGGAUGCUUUGGUGUUUGUUUAGGGUUUCAGUGGUGUUUUUUCGAUUAUGAAUGGUUAGGUUUGGCAAACAAGAAAACUGUUUCCAUCCAGCCGGAAGGCAAGGAUUUGACUGUUGUACUGUCUACUAC
rnacentral:lncRNA from 1 species